CUGCCGGCAAUGGGCGUUCGGGGCGGCGGGCAGGGCCGGGUGUCCCGGCCGCGCUGUUGCCUUGCAGCGAGCUUGACGCUGGCGGUGCUGGCCGCAGUGGCCGGGCCGCUCGCAGCUGGGGAGUGGGAGCCCGCAGAGGGGCCGCCCGAGCCCCGCGGCCGCUCCCCUUUCCAGCCCAGCACCGGCCUGCCCCCGGUGGAGUUCGGGGCGGUGGUCGCGGCCUCGUACCGGGGCCCUGGGAACGGCGACACCCGCCGCAACCGGGAAUUGCCCAUCCUGCUGUGGUGGAGCCCGGGCCUCUUCCCGCACUUCCCGGGGGACACGGAGCGCAUCGACUGCGCGCGCCACUCCUGCCUGGUGACCCGGCGCCGGCGCGUGGCGCUGCACCAGCGCACCAAAGCCAUCAUCUUCUACGGGACGGACUUCCGGGCCUACGAGGCCCCGCUGCCGCGGCUGCCCCACCAGACCUGGGCGCUGUUCCAUGAGGAGUCCCCCAUGAACAACUACCUGCUCUCCCACCGGCCCGGCAUCAGCCUCUUCAACUACACGGCCACCUUCCGGAGGGAGUCGGACUAUCCCCUGACCCUGCAGUGGCUGGCCAGCCUGGCCUACCUGCGCCGGGCCGCCCUGCCGCUGGCGGAAAAGGAGCGGUGGCGAAAGCAGGGCUAUGCCCCGGUGCUGUACAUGCAGUCCCACUGCGAUGUCCCCUCCGACAGGGACAGAUACGUGCGGGAGCUCAUGAAGCACAUCCAGGUAGACUCCUAUGGUAAAUGCCUGAAUAAUCGAGAGCUUCCCAGUGAGAGGCUGAGGGACACUUCUACAGCCACAACAGAGGAUUCUGAAUUCAUGACCUUUAUCUCCAGGUACAAGUUUCAUCUUGCGAUGGAGAAUGCCAUAUGCAAUGACUACAUGACCGAGAAGCUGUGGCGUCCAAUGCAUUUGGGCGCCAUCCCUGUAUACCGAGGCUCCCCAUCUGUGCGGGACUGGAUGCCUGAUGAACUCUCCAUCAUCCUCGUGGAUGAUUUCCGAAGCCCCCAAGAGCUAGCACAGUUCCUUGACUUCCUGGACAGGAAUGGAGAGGAGUAUUUGAAAUACCUAGAGUAUAAGAAGCCGGGAGGCAUUACAAACCAGUUUCUGCUGGAGAACAUGGAGAGGCGUGAAUGGGGAGUGAAUGACAUGACUUUGCCCAAUUAUCUGAACGGCUUUGAGUGUUUCAUCUGUGACAGGGAGAACAUCCGAGUCGCUGGUGAGAGGGAUCAUAAGAAAUCUCAUGGGAAAGUGCCAGCUCCUGAACCCCACAUAGCUAAGUUCACACACAUGGGGUGUCCCAUGCCAGCCCCUGGCUUUGGAAACAUUGAGGAUCUCUCUGCAGGAGACAGUUCCACAAAAGACAUCUAUCCUGGACUGAUUGAAGAGGGCUCACAGCACAUCUGAAUGCUGCUUUCUCCUAAUGAGAUUUGAGGCAGUUUGACUGCAAGAGCAAGCUUCUCUGCCCCCAAUCCUGUGCUUAUUGAUCAGUUCUGAAAGGAAUUGGGACUCUGGGGAUUGUAGUAUUGUGUGCACAGAUUUGUUGUCUUGAGACAACAUUAGAGGGCUUGAUUGUUCAGCAUCUGAAGAGCUGCAUUAAACCGCAGACCAAUCAGAACACUGAGAUGGGCAAAAAAAAAAAAGGUAAUUUAUAAUUUAACAGACACACACACAGGCAGGCGCGGUGCUAGGAGGGGUGGCUUGCAGGGGCUAUAGCCACCCCAAAAUUUGCUUUAGUCCCUGCCCCCCAUAGCCAUGUCUCCCAAGUGCAAAGAUCAAACGUGACACAGAAGUACGGGUGGCAUAGUGUG